GAUGAACGCUGGCGGCGUGCCUAAUGCAUGCAAGUCGAGCGAACAGACGAGGAGCUUGCUCCUCUGACGUUAGCGGCGGACGGGUGAGUAACACGUGGAUAACCUACCUAUAAGACUGGGAUAACUUCGGGAAACCGGAGCUAAUACCGGAUAAUAUAUUGAACCGCAUGGUUCAAUAGUGAAAGACGGUUUUGCUGUCACUUAUAGAUGGAUCCGCGCCGCAUUAACUAGUUGGUAAGGUAACGGCUUACCAAGGCGACGAUGCGUAGCCGACCUGAGGGGGUGAUCGGCCACACUGGAACUGAGACACGGUCCAGACUCCUACGGGAGGCAGCAGUAGGGAAUCUUCCGCAAUGGGCGAAAGCCUGACGGAGCAACGCCGCGUGAGUGAUGAAGGUCUUCGGAUCGUAAAACUCUGUUAUUAGGGAAGAACAAAUGUGUAAGUAACUAUGCACGUCUUGACGGUACCUAAUCAGAAAGCCACGGCUAACUACGUG
rnacentral:rRNA from 1 species